GGAUUGAUGAUUAUACGAAAUGCAGCAUUUCUUAUGUAAAUUUUGGAAUUUCCAUAUUUUAACAAAUUUUAGUACUGCGUGAUUUUGUGGCCUCUCACCAAAUUGAAUACGUUUUGUUCCCACUUUUACAGCCUGAAAUGCUAAAACUGAUUAUUUCAAGAAAUUCGGCUGUGUGAUAUAUUUAUACAUUUAUUUGAUUGCAAAAACGUAAAUUUAUAAGUGAUUGUCUUUUCAGGCUUCCAACUACUUUCGAACGAAAAAUAAAUUAAUAAUUAAAUGCAAAUUGUUUCAUUUCGUUUAUAUAUAAAUAUAAAAGAAAAUCGACGGAUAUAUUUUUCGGAAGAAUUAACCAGCAUAUAUGCGAUUCGUGCGCAUUUAAGAUCGUGAAUUUGCCAAAUUAAUGCUUCGCACGCAGCUGCGCAGUUUAAGUGACUAACGAUAAACAAGUUGAAUUAGCAGAUCGGGUACGUCAUCUUCCUGGACCACGCCCACACAAUUGUUAUAAUUAGGCGAGCAACGCCCAUAUAAUUCACCGCCCCCCUCGGAAGGCAAAAAAGCAAAAAGAACACAAACGAAAACAAAGACGGCAAACAUGUAUGGAGUGGAAUAUGGGCUGACACCUGUUGAUAAAGCUUUUGAGCCAAAAUAACUGAGUCACAGGGCUUAUGACCUCAUAGGCAACCGCAAAAAUACACCUAGAAUACAUAUGUUUGCAUGUAAGUACGAGCAGAUAAUUGAGACAUGCAUAUGGCGGCACUAAUUAGCGCAUAAGUAUAUCUGACUUUCUUCUAUGCACAUGUCUACAUACAUAUGUGUGUACUUAUAUCUGAGGUAACAAUUUAACUGACGAUUAACUUAAUUGCCCGACCAAAAUAUUUCGUAUUUCAGCGUUCAGCGCAGUUCACGUCAAUGUCACUUCUGUGAUCACUUUUGAUUUCAGUUCUCAGACUUAAGUACGUGCUGGCGAUGAUUAUCAAACUCAUGCCUCAGCCACGGACUCACCGAAGCAGGAAAUACCCUAGAAAUAAACGAUACUAAAGUCAACAGAAAUUACGUGUAAUU